rnacentral:lncRNA from 1 species
AAUUCACAAAGGUGGAUUCUGCAAAAUCCACGGAUUAAUCCACGGAUUUUGUUGAGUCCACAGUCCACGGAUUCGCUUUUGUGAUUCACAAAGGUGGACUCGACCGAAUCCACGGAUUCUACCAAGUCUAUUACGUCACGAUUUCGAGUCAACUGUUUGGGGUGGUCUGAAACAGUGGACUCCACAGAAUCCGUGGAUUCUCCACAGAAUCCGUGGAUUCUAGGCGUAAUUGGCCAAUCACAGCGCAGCAUUUGGGUAUAAGCUUUGUGCAGACAACAACCGCUGGACGAUAAUUUUGCAGCAAAAUUUAAGGUGGAAGACUGGACGUGAAAGUGGUGGAAAAAAUACAUGCUGGACCGAGCUCCGAGAAAAUUAACAAAAAAUGGCAGAAAAUCACCGUGCUCAUUUAAUGCAUCUUGAUCGUGUCAACAGCCUCAGAGAGAUAGCCAACAGGCCCAGACCCUGAUGGGAUUACAGAAAUGAAUGAAUCCUUUUGAGUUGUACAUGGAUAAAGCCUUUCGAAUGCGGUAUCGCUUCUCAAAAGAGACUGCACUCCAUCUCAUCAACAUGUGUGAGGGUGAUCUGAGCUGAGGAGGAAUACAGAAUGUAGUGAACCUCUACCUGUUGUCAUAGGUGUCAUCGAUGGGACUCAUGUCUACAUUAGGAGUCCUGGUGGGGAACAAGCCCUGUACUUCCUUAAUCGGAAGAACAGGUAUUCCGUCAGUGUGCAGAUUGCAUUUUUAAUAUAAAUGUAGACUCUGUUAUGCCAGUCUGAACUUUUGGGGAAGGGUCGAUAAUGUGACUUGUACUCCUAUCAUCAUUCCAAUGUCACUAAAGUAUAAUAGCGGUCAUUGACUAUUUUUAAGCAUUGAAAUUUAGAUUGUUUUAUUUAGCACCCUCUCUUUGUAAUGUACUGUACAGUACUUAUUUGUCCUUUAACCCUUUAUAGCCCGGGGGGCCUAAAAGGCCCCUCCUCGACAUAUUUCACGAUAAUUUCUAAAUGCAAAAAAAUAAUACGCUGAAAUUUCAUGACUUUUUUCUUUUACAUCUCCGGCACAUUUUGAGACCGUUUGUGAAAAUCGGGGGUACACUUGCAGAGAUAUAGCACAUAUUCGUAACCAAUGUCACCGAAAAUGGCAAUUUCCAUUGACUUUUGUGUGUACAAUGUAUGGGUUUUACAAUAAGUGUUGUCAGAUGAAUGUUUUUUUCUGUUUUUCCUCACAUGAGUUUCUUUUGGGCUAUCACCAACUAU